CGAUAGCUCAGCUGGUAGAGCGGAGGACUGUAGCGGUCAACGCCUCGCGGGAAUCCUUAGGUCGCUGGUUCGAUUCCGGCUCGAAGGA
rnacentral:tRNA from 1 species